ensembl:lncRNA
AAAAAAUAUCAGUCUGAGAGUUUGUAAUUUUAAUAUGUUAUGAAGCACUGCAAGGAUACUUGCAGUGGGAAUACUCAUGCAGCCCUAGCUCUUGCUGCUUUGCUGACUGGAAAGGGUGGAUUCCUUGGCACAAAAAAUGGCUUUGGAGAGCUCACCACUGUCCUAUAUUUCUGUCCAGCAAAUGUAAGGCUAUCAAAAAAUGUGCAAGUCAACUCUCAUUGCAGAUAGUCAGACUGAAGUGUUUUGGUGAUAUUCAGCAUUCAUCUGUUUGCAUCUUUGUCAUGUCAGGAACAUCACCUUAGUCAGACAGGCAGGGUGGACAAAUAGCCACCUUUCUUGCACAAGAGACUUAUCGUAGUCCUAGUUCAAAAGUCAGCCCACAGUAUAGCUAACAAAGUCACUAAGUCUAAUGGGGAAGUACCUCUCGGAGGCACAGCGUUGGGCUUAGUGAAACCAUCAGAUGGGAAGCUGGGUUCAUCACCUCAUGCCCAUCAGGUGAAAGAGUUAAUGGAGGGAAGCACAAGGCACUCAGCUGUUGCCAAAGAACUGACAAGCUGCAGCUGGGAUUCUACAGCUCUGCUUUUGGGCAGAGUAAGGCACCUGCAAGAGGAGCUGAGUGCUUUGUGAAGAAAAUAUCUUCAGUACAGUGCUGCCGGAGGAGACAGGCCCUGAAUCCAAGGCAGAGGAUCUGCAGCGCACUGAUUUCUCUCCAAGAUCACUGGAAAAUGCUGAGAGCUGAGGGGCCCUGGAGGAGCGUUUGCAGAUGCGCUGCUGCUCUGCACCACUUCCCACAGCCAGAGCUCCAUCUCCUAUCCCUGGAGCAGCCUCAGCCAUGGCUCUCCCUCCUGUUUGUUGUUUGGUCUGUGACAGCUAGACCAUGCAAUCUGCAGCAGGCUGCACCUUGCAUUCGAUUGAAAACCACCCAGUGCAGAAGCUUCUGAGCCAUUUUCUUUAAUGCACAUGACGCCUACUAUGGUUUGGGGUUCGUAGUUUUUGAUUCCAGCACUGGUAUUUAUUGACUGAAAUCACCUGGGAGCCUCCCACACCAGUGAGUGUCCCCUUAUCUAUGUAAUGCUGGUGCAUCUGUAGUGCCUGAGAUGCCCUGUAGCUCUGGGCGGAAAUUCAGUGAGGAGCUGCUGAGCAGGGCUUUUUCCCAAGGGCCCCACAGCGCUGUAAAUCAGUUUCCCUGUAGUCUGAAAGUCCUCUGUGCAUUGGCCUUCAGGGGAUGCAGAGAAACUUGUCUGCUGGCUGGGGCAUCCAGGGCUGGCUGAGAUGUAUGGGCGGCCAAAGGAGGGAGUUGUUUUUCUGUCUGAACCACUUGCUAUUUUCCUGUUGUGUGGGUUGGGAUGUGUUGCUGGAUUUGCUUUUGGUUUGAUGUAUUGUUGUUUGUUGAAUGGCUCAGGGGUUUGUAUAUAACAUUGAAAUGACUGGGACCCAUGAGGGGUGCUUUUUUAUCUUGGCAUUUAAAAAGAAAUCAAAAUAGAUGAGAUGUUUUUCGCAUAAUUAAAGAUCACACCUAAAUCAAAUGCUCUAGACCUCAGUCUCCUCCUAUUUCCCCACUUCCCACUCGUCUCCCCCUCCUACACGCAUACAAAGUUCAGCUGUUUGGGAAUGCAGCUGAGAAUUUCCUACUGUCUAGAAAGCAUGAACUAAACCUCUUUUCCUCCCUUUUUCAAAGAAAAAACAACACCAACAACAUGCAGCAUAUUCGUGGUUCUCGUGUCAGCACUGUAGCUGGCACUCCUCUCUACUUUCAGUGUAGGUUAUUUCUGAAUUACCCUAAACAGACCAUUCCCCCACUCGGAGGUCAAGGUGAGUGCAAUGAUAGCCAAGUCCCCUUGUUGGCAGCUCUCUGUGGGGAGUGAUAUUAACCUGCACGCUUCUCCCGCUCCUACUCCCUACAGCCUGUUAUUAAACAAGGACAAGUGGGUAGCUUGUCUG